rnacentral:rRNA from 1 species
GACGAACGCUGGCGGCGUGCUUAACACAUGCAAGUCGAGCGAUGAACCUUUCAUGAAUUUUUCGGAAUGAUUGGAAGAGGAUUAGCGGCGGACGGGUGAGUAACGCGUGAGCAACCUGCCUUAAACAACGGGAUAGCCUCGGGAAACCGGGAUUAAUACCGUAUGAGACCCCGCCUUCACAUGAAGAAGAGGUUAAAGAUUUAUCGGUUUAAGAUGGGCUCGCGUCUGAUUAGCUAGUUGGUGAGAUAAAAGCCCACCAAGGCAACGAUCAGUAACCGGCUUGGGAGAGUGAACGGUCACAUUGGAACUGAGACACGGACCAAACUCCUACGGGAGGCAGCAGUGGGGAAUAUUGCACAAUGGGGGAAACCCUGAUGCAGCGACGCCGCGUGAGCGAUGAAGGAAUUCGUUUCGUAAAGCUCUGUCCAAGGGGAAGAUAAUGACAGUACCCUUGGAGGAAGCCCCGGCUAAAUACGUGCCAGCAGCCGCAGUAAGAC